CAACCACCUACGGGUGGCAGCAGUGGGGAAUCUUGCACAAUGGGGGAAACCCUGAUGCAGCGACGCCGCGUGAGUGAUGAAGCCCUUCGGGGUGUAAAGCUCUUUCGGCAGGGACGAUAAUGACGGUACCUGCAGAAGAAGCUGCGGCUAACUACGUGCCAGCAGCCGCGGUAAUACGUAGGCAGCAAGCGUUGUUCGGAAUUACUGGGCGUAAAGAGUGCGUAGGCGGUUUGGCAAGUUUGGUGUGAAAUCUCCCGGCUUAACUGGGAGGGUGCGCCGAAAACUGCCAGGCUAGAGUGUGGGAGAGGAAAGCGGAAUUCCUGGUGUAGCGGUGAAAUGCGUAGAUAUCAGGAGGAACACCGGCGGUGUAGACGGCUU
rnacentral:rRNA from 1 species